rnacentral:rRNA from 1 species
CCGGUAUGAGUAGCGAAAGACGGGUGAGAAUCCCGUCCACCGAAUGCCUAAGGUUUCCUGAGGAAGGCUCGUCCGCUCAGGGUUAGUCAGGACCUAAGCCGAGGCCGACAGGCGUAGGCGAUGGACAACAGGUUGAUAUUCCUGUACCACCUCUUUAUCGUUUGAGCAAUGGAGGGACGCAGAAGGAUAGAAGAAGCGUGCGAUUGGUUGUGCACGUCCAAGCAGUUAGGCUGAUAAGUAGGCAAAUCCGCUUAUCGUGAAGGCUGAGCUGUGAUGGGGAAGCUCCUUAUGGAGCGAAGUCUUUGAUUCCCCGCUGCCAAGAAAAGCUUCUAGCGAGAUAAAAGGUGCCUGUACCGCAAACCGACACAGGUAGGCGAGGAGAGAAUCCUAAGGUGUGCGAGAGAACUCUGGUUAAGGAACUCGGCAAAAUGACCCCGUAACUUCGGGAGAAGGGGUGCUUUCUUAACGGAAAGCCGCAGUGAAUAGGCCCAAGCGACUGUUUAGCAAAAACACAGCUCUCUGCGAAGCCGUAAGGCGAAGUAUAGGGGGUGACACCUGCCCGGUGCUGGAAGGUUAAGGAGAGGGGUUAGCGUAAGCGAAGCUCUGAACUGAAGCCCCAGUAAACGGCGGCCGUAACUAUAACGGUCCUAAGGUAGCGAAAUUCCUUGUCGGGUAAGUUCCGACCCGCACGAAAGGUGUAACGAUUUGGGCACUGUCUCAACCAGAGACUCGGUGAAAUUAUAGUACCUGUGAAGAUGCAGGUUACCCGCGACAGGACGGAAAGACCCCGUGGAGCUUUACUGUAGCCUGAUAUUGAAUUUUGGUACAGUUUGUACAGGAUAGGCGGGAGCCAUUGAAACCGGAGCGCUAGCUUCGGUGGAGGCGCUGGUGGGAUACCGCCCUGACUGUAUUGAAA